AUUGAACGCUGGCGGCAUGCCUUACACAUGCAAGUCGAACGGUAACAGGUCUUCGGAUGCUGACGAGUGGCGAACGGGUGAGUAAUACAUCGGAACGUGCCCGAUCGUGGGGGAUAACGAGGCGAAAGCUUUGCUAAUACCGCAUACGAUCUACGGAUGAAAGCGGGGGAUCUUCGGACCUCGCGCGGACGGAGCGGCCGAUGGCAGAUUAGGUAGUUGGUGGGAUAAAAGCUUACCAAGCCGACGAUCUGUAGCUGGUCUGAGAGGAUGAUCAGCCACACUGGGACUGAGACACGGCCCAGACUCCUACGGGAGGCAGCAGUGGGAAAUUUUGGACAAUGGGCGAAAGCCUGAUCCAGCCAUGCCGCGUGCAGGAUGAAGGCCUUCGGGUUGUAAACUGCUUUUGUACGGAACGAAAAGCCUCUUUCUAAUAAAGAGAGGUCAUGACGGUACCGUAAGAAUAAGCACCGGCUAACUACGUG
rnacentral:rRNA from 1 species